rnacentral:rRNA from 1 species
GGGGGGGGGGGGGGGGGGGGGGGGGGGUGGGGGUGGGAGGGGGGGGCGGUAAGAGCGUGCGCUGAGGGGUGGCGGGUGGCGGAGGGGUGAGGAAGACCUGGGGAUCGGCGUUUGCGUGGGGGAUGAGGUAGGGAAACUUACGCUCAUAGCGCAUACGCACUACGGGUGAACGCAGGGGAUCUUGGGAGCGUGGGCGCUGGCAUGCGCCGACGUCGGAUUAGCUAGUUGGCGGGGUAACGGCCCACCACGGCGACGAUCCGUAGCUGGUCUGAGAGGAUGAUCAGCCACACUGGAACUGAGACACGGUCCAGACUCCUACGGGAGGCAGCAGUGGGGAAUAUUGGACAAUGGGCGCAAGCCUGAUCCAGCCAUACCGCGUGGGUGAAGAAGGCCUUCGGGUUGUAAAGCCCUUUUGUUGGGAAAGAAAAGCAGCAGGUUAAUACCCCGCUGUUCUGACGGUACCCAAAGAGUAAGCACCGGCUAACUUCGUG